rnacentral:misc_RNA from 1 species
GUAUUGUAUUGCGUUAAACGCGUCAUGCAUUCCAUAAAACUUUGUUACAGAGUGUGUGUAAAGACGUAGGACCACAACGGGAGGAUAGAGUCCCCCAUGCCACGGAACUACAGAGGGUGCACAGGUGUGAGUGGAUGUGUAAACAGAGCGUGCACAUGCCCCCGUUUUGAGGACCAGCAACAACUCGUGUUGACAAUUCGGUAAUGAUCCUUCCGCAGGUUCACCUACGGAAA